UACGUAGGGGGCAAGCGUUGUCCGGAAUUAUUGGGCGUAAAGCGCGUGUAGGCGGUCCGGUAAGUCCGCUGUGAAAGUCGGGGGCUCAACCCUCGAAUGCCGGUGGAUACUGUCGGGCUAGAGUGCGGAAGAGGCGAGUGGAAUUCCUGGUGUAGCGGUGAAAUGCGCAGAUAUCAGGAGGAACACCUAUUGCGAAGGCAGCUCGCUGGGACGUUACUGACGCUGAGACGCGAAAGCGUGGGGAGCAAACAGG
rnacentral:rRNA from 1 species